rfam:Homo sapiens chromosome 3, GRCh38 reference primary assembly.
GCCAGGCGUGGUGGUGCAUGCCUGUAGUCCCAAUUACUUGGGAGGCUGAGGCAAGAGGGUUACUUGAGCCUGGGAGGUCAAGGCUGCAGUAAGCCAUGAUCAUCGCUGCACUCUAGCCUGGGCAACAGAGUGAGAACCUGUCUCAA